CAACUGGUUCUUGAUGGAGAGCCAGAUGCAGGGGCCAGUGCCAGCUCUGGUAGGGUGUGCCCUCCCCAUGGAUCCUCCUCAUGUGGUGAGGGAGCCCCGGGUUCAGAUCUGGAUUCUUCCCCUUCCUAGCUCCUUGACUUUGUGCAGCUUACGUGACUUCUCUGAUCUCCAGUCUCCUCUGCUGUAAAGCAGGGAAAGUAAUACCCCUAUCUUAUGUGCAUAGUGAGGCUAAGGACCAUGGUGUAUGUGAAAGUCAGAUACAAAGCCCAGCGUAUCACGGGUGUUCAGUAAAUCUCAGCUCAUAGUGAUGCUCUGCCCUGGUUUUGUACCAGGCUGCUUUACUUGCAUAUCUCAUGCAUAUCUCAUCCUCAUGGCACCACCUCGAGAUCUGUACUCUUUAUUUUUCAGAUGGGGAAACUGAGGCUUUGUGCCAUUAAGUGACUUGUUCAAGGCCAUAAUGCCACAGACGAUGAAGUUGAGAUUGAAACCCCAGCAGCCUUACUCCAUGGAAACACCUUUCCCAUUCCUCUUCUUUUUUUUGUCUUUUGUCUUUUUUAGGGCUGCACCUUCUCACGUCGAGGUUCCCAGGCUAGGGGUUGAAUCGAAGCUACAGCUGCCGGCCUGUACCACAGCCACAACAAUGCCAGAUCCAAGCUGCAUCUGUGACCUACACCACAGUUCAUGUGGGUUAGGAUCUAGCGUUGCUGUGAGCUGUGGUGUAGGUGGCAGAUGUGGCUCAGAUCCCAUGUUUCUGUGGCUGUGGAGUAGCCAGCACCUGUAGAUCUGAUUAGACCCCUAGCCUGGGAACUUCCAUAUGCAGCAGGUGUGGCUCUAAAAAGCAGGAAAAAAAAGAGAAUUAUUUCUUGAGCACCUAAGUUAAAAGAGCAUGGGUUCUGGAGCCUGAGGGACAAGAGCAAAUCCUGGCUGUUUUGCUUAAUAUCUUUGUAACCUUGAGCAAGUUACUUCAUUACUCUCUGUACCUCAGUUUUCUGAUUUGGGAAAUGGGAAUAAUCAGUAAUAAAUUGAAGUUAUAAUAAGGACUAAAAGAGAUCGCAGACUACAUGCGUUUGUUAGGAUCUUUUUGUUCCUUUGUUCCAUGGCUGUUGAUUGGUGUGGUGGUAUGUUCUAGCCAGUGGAGACAGGCAAGGUCCAUGCUUUUACCCACCUUAGGUUCCAGUGGAAGAGCCAGAUUGUCAAAAAAGCAAAUAAGCUGGUAAUGUGUUUUAAGAUAGUGGUAAGUGCUCCAAGAAACAAGAUGAUGCUGGGAAGCAGGUGAUCAGGAGUGAGGACACACAGAGGAGACGGGGGAGAGGGAGAGAACCACUCAAAGACCAUUCUGUUGAAAAACAUGAAAUAAGCAACUUUCUGGAAUUUACCAGAGAGAAAGACAGAGAGGGAAAGCACUCCUUGAGUUUCCAAGAGAGGGAAGCAGCCAAAAAUACAUACAGUUAAAUAAAGACUGAUUCUGGGGCCAAACAAGCUUUAAGAUAAUUAUUUCUCCCGGUAGUGAAUCAUCAUGGCUCACAAACGAAUUCAUCUUUUCAUGUUUUUAGUACCAAAGGUCCUUGGUAGAUGGAUUAAUCCUCCUUUUCACCUGGCUCCCUUCACCUGAUCCCCUCACCUCCUUGAAUUGGAAUGAAGGGCCAUUCAUUCCAAAAAACCUAUUAACUCCUAGCUCCUAGACUGCUGGCUCACCACUCAGCCUGGCUUGGGUACCGCCUCUCAGUGCUUGAGUCCUCAGGCCAUCUCUGUUGUCUCCAUUUGUGUCCCCUUUGGGCCUGUGCUGAUGCAGGAAGGCUCACCAGACACUCCAGUGGCUCCUGUACGUUUUCCAGCCCCCACAGGUAAGAGGGACGUGGGAACCUAGGAGCCGGGCAGGGCAUCACUUCUGGGUGGACAGGGGAGGCCUACGUGGUCCAGGGCAAGAUGGCAGAGCUUCCGUCAGCCUGGGCCCCAGAGUGGGUGGCUGGAGCUGACCCCUGUCCCUUUGUUUUCAUGGGUCUCUAACUUCCUGGCUUCUCUAAGCCUCAAGGAUUAUUACUCCUUGUGUUUUGUUGCUCUGCAAAAACCUCUGCCAGUGAACUCUUCAGCCUCAGAUAGGCCUGCUUCUUUUCCCCUCUUAAAAUCUGAUCAUGCCCUCUGACAUCCCUGCUCUAUUUUCUUUAUUGUAUUUGCCAUUCUUUGACAUGACCUUUUUUUCUGUGUUUAUAUGUAUUUUCCGUGUCCUCUUACUAUAGUCUCCCAUCUGUUGAUACAUCACAGUCUCCUCGGUGCCUAGAACAGCGUCUGGUACAAAGAAGAUGCUUAGUAAGAAUGUAAAUGAAUAAAACAGAAAAAAAGUGAACUCACAGAUAUAGAGAAUGAGUGGUGAGGAGAGGGAAAAGGGGGUGGGGAAAGAUAGGGGCAGGGGAAAGAGAAGGGUUUUUAGGAAACUGUAUGAAGAGCACAUGAGUGAAAACUUAAAAUUGUGAAGCACUAUAGAAUUUAAGGAAUCUUCAUUUUUAAGAAGUGAAAAAAAAA
rnacentral:lncRNA from 1 species